AUGUACCACUCGUACACUGCGGUUCCUGCGCGCCGCGCGCACCCGCCUGACAACCGCUCGCUACGUUUUAUGAGCU
rnacentral:sRNA from 1 species